AUUGCUGGCGACCGGGGCACGGGUGAGUAACACGUAUCCAACCUGCCGAUAACUCGGGGAUAGCCUUUCGAAAGAAAGAUUAAUACCCGAUGGCAUAAUUAGACCGCAUGGUUUGAUUAUUAAAGAAUUUCGGUUAUCGAUGGGGAUGCGUUCCAUUAGGCAGUUGGUGAGGUAACGGCUCACCAAACCUUCGAUGGAUAGGGGUUCUGAGAGGAAGGUCCCCCACAUUGGAACUGAGACACGGUCCAA
rnacentral:rRNA from 1 species